AGAAUCAACGCUGGCGGCGUGCCUCAGACAUGCAAGUCGAACGCGAAAGUUUCCUUCGGGAGAUGAGUAGAGUGGCGCACGGGUGAGUAACACGUAGGUAAUCUACCUUUGGAUGGGGGAAUAACAACCGGAAACGGUUGCUAAUACCGCAUAAUGCAGCGGCACCUAAUGGUAGAC
rnacentral:rRNA from 1 species